AGCACCACAACAGGUGGAGCCUGCGGUUUAAUCGGACUCAACGCCGGGAAACUCACCAGAUAAGACAGCUGAAUGAUAGUCGGGCUGAAGACUCUACUUGACUAGCUGAGAGAAGGUGCAUGGCCGUCGUCAGUUCGUACUGUGAAGCAUCCUGUUAAGUCAGGCAACGAGCGAGACCCACGCCAACAGUUGCCAGCUCGUCCUCCGGGAUGGUGGGGACACUGUUGGGACCGCCUCUGCUAAAGAGGAGGAAGGAAUGGGCAACGGUAGGUCAGCAUGCCCCGAAUUAUCUGGGCUACACGCGGGCUACAAUGGGUGGGACAAUGGGUAUCGACACCGAAAGGUGAAGGCAAUCUCCUAAACCCAUCCGUAGUUCGGAUUGUGGGCUGCAACUCGCCCACAUGAAGCUGGAAUCUGUAGUAAUCGUGUCUCAAAAUGGCACGGUGAAUAUGUCCCUGCUCCUU
rnacentral:rRNA from 1 species